CGAGGGGGCACUGCCGGUGCCCGGGUUCCCUCUGAAGGAGGGGUUUGGAGCGGGGAGGCAGCGAUUCCCGCGCUGCCCUUGGACUCACCUUGGCUCCCUGGAUGCAAACACUAAUUUCCCUCUGAGCAGCGUCUCUCUCUACUCCUGGUAAAUUCCUCCAGUGCUUUUCCCUGCGUUGCCUCUGCCCGGCUGCGCACCGCGGCUGACAUGGAGCCACGUGCCGGGAGGAAACCCUCCUUCACCGCCUUUAACUCUGUCCCUCCCUCAAAUCCUCAAACACUGCCAGGCUCGGGUUUCCCGGUGGGAAAGGCUUCCCAUCUCCGCCCUGCCGGGGGUCCUGGGACCACCUCCGGCACCUGGGGCUGUGGGAAACCACCCGGCCCUCGCUGAGAUCCUGAUAUUGGGAUCGGGGUGUGGGGAGUGAUUUGGGAUCGUGUGCCCAGGGUGAGUACAGCGCUCAAUCCAUCCGUGCAGGGAGGAUGGGGGGGAAAUUCCCCCCUGUGGCAGCUGCUGGAGGGGAAGGACAGGGAAAACUGGGAUGUGGCGGGUUGUGCACGGGAAAGCUGGUGAGGAACAGGAAUAGCUGAAAGAACUAAAUAUGGAAACUUGGAUAAAACAGCGCUGAAGUAGGGAGAUGGUUUCCUAACAGGGUUCAAAGCGUAUAAACAAACUCAGGGAGGAGAGAGGUUGUCCAGAGGGGCCUUUGUGAGGAAUAGUCAGGAAAACCAGCCGAAAAUCUCUCCAUAGGGGAGCGUGUUCCAUCAAAGCAAACUUCCAGCUUCGUGGAGAAAGUGUCAGCCCUGGGAACAUAUUGUCUGGGGGGAAGAGAUAGUGAAAACACCUGCCCCAGCCAGCGAAAAGAUUCUCCUUUACGUUUUUUUUCUAACUGGCACAUUUCCAUGAUAAAACAGGAAGUUUCAUGGCAACGGUAAAAUAAUAAUGACGAAGUUUUCCGUUCCACUGGAAGUUUUUUGCCCGACCCUGCUUUUCUGCUUCCCUUUGGCAGGUUGCUCCGGGAUCACCAACCUCACACCGGGGGGUUUGUUCCUGCAGAUCUGAGACUGCAGGAUCCUGCGGGAUCCCUUGGGAAGUGCCUCCCUGGAGCAGGGUGGGCAAAACCUCAGGUUUGGCCUCGUGCUGGGAUCCCAUCAGAGCUCUCCCAUCUCUCAUGUCUCUUAAUUCCUUAAGGAGCUCAGCUCUCUGCCCUCUUUGCCGGCUCCUCACCACCUUCUCCUUUACCUUUUGGGUUUGUGCCGGCGAAAAGGGGGUGGUUUAAUGCGAUUAUUCCGGUAAAACCCCCGUAAGAGGAUUCCCAGGGCUUGCCUUCACAGCCCUGCAGGGGUUAUGGGCAGCUUGUGGAUGGGGAUGAGCUGGAUGUGGGAUAGUGGGAAGCCCGAGAGAGGCUUUGUAAGCUGAGCCAAACCGUGGUGUCCCUGCAAGGGUGACCCCGGGAUCUGCAGCCCCUGAAGGUGCCACGUGCUGCCUUUCCCUGGGACAGGAUGGACAUUUCCCAUGGUGUGGAUCCUGCUCACCCUGGACAGAGGUGGAUGGAAUGGGCAGCAGAAACACAGAGAAGAGGGAUGGAGGGCUGGGAGAGCAGGAUUCGUCCGGGAGCUCCCCUCUGGAUGAGAAAAGUAACAUUUCCCCCCCAAGGACGUGAACAACCAGAACUCUGUGGUGCACCAGAUACAUACAAUGACACGAGUUAUUUUCCUUUUGUGUGUAUUUAAACUAUAUAACAGGAUUCACUGAGUCAAUCCAGUUACUACCUAUUUAAUGGCAUUAUUAUUAUUAAUAUAGUAUUCCAAAUUAUUAUAAUAAAAAUACUAUUAUUA